GAGGUCGGCAGCAUCCCAUGACCACAGAGGUCUGCAGCAUCACAUGACCACAGAGGUCUGUAGCAUCACAUGACCACAGAGAGGUCUGCAGCAUCACUCGACCACAGACUGACUAGAUGUGUGGAUGAAAUAAGACGGAUGAUGCGUUUGUGAUGCGGUUGCGGAUAAAAUAAUAACCCAUCCGCGCAUCUCUAGUGUGUUUGUUUUAUGUGUAUGUGUGUGAGUGUAUAAUGUGUGUGUGUGUGUGUGUGUGUGUGUAUAAUGUGUUUGUGUGUGUGUAUGUGUGUGUAGUGUACCACAUGAAGGCGGACGGCUGGGUGAAG
ensembl:lncRNA